rnacentral:rRNA from 1 species
GAUCCUGGCUCAGAGUGAACGCUGGCGGCAGGCCUAACACAUGCAAGUCGAACGGCAGCACAGUGGAGCUUGCUCCAUGGGUGGCGAGUGGCGGACGGGUGAGGAAUACAUCGGAAUCUGCCCAGUCGUGGGGGAUAACAUAGGGAAACUUAUGCUAAUACCGCAUACGACCUACGGGUGAAAGCGGGGGAUCGCAAGACCUCGCGCGAUUGGAUGAGCCGAUGUCCGAUUAGCUAGUUGGCGGGGUAAUGGCCCACCAAGGCGACGAUCGGUAGCUGGUCUGAGAGGAUGAUCAGCCACACUGGAACUGAGACACGGUCCAGACUCCUACGGGAGGCAGCAGUGGGGAAUAUUGGACAAUGGGCGCAAGCCUGAUCCAGCCAUGCCGCGUGGGUGAAGAAGGCCUUCGGGUUGUAAAGCCCUUUUGUCCGGAAAGAAACGCCUCGGAUUAAUACUCUGGGGUAAUGACGGUACCGGAAGAAUAAGCACCGGCUAACUUCGUG